GUUUUAGCAAGUUUGAGGCUUAAUAAUAGAGAAGAGGUCCUUCUUUGUGAUUAUAGUGAUUUAGGGAGGAAGAGAAACAGUAUUUAUGUGUUACCAGAUUAUUUACGUAAAUGACAUAGGACAGUGGUUGACUGACUCUUCAAUCCCCAAUUUAUUUUUACUAUAAAUAAUCCUGGCACGGUGGGUGUAAAUGUCCAUAGCAUCUCUGGCAAAACCUUUCCACAGCUACAAUGUUAUCAUAUUGCUAUAGACGAUGAUUUUGGAAAGCUCAGGAGUAUCUCAAGAAGAAGCUCAGGAAGAAGCUGUAAGCUUGUGGCAGGCAGUACCAAGCUUGGAGGUGUUCUGCACGUUUUGGUCAUGUAAAGGACUCAGUUUGCACUGCUGCCAAUUACCUCAAGCUUCCAUUUGGCAAGCUGGUGCUUCCACUGCCACUGUCUUCUCCCAGGUCUUCCAGGGAGGCAGCUGCCUGAGAAGAUGAACCACGGUGUGAUGAACCAAAUUCUGGCUCCCAGAUUGUUCAUCCUGCUUUAAAAAGGCAGCGCUUUCAAACAACAGAGCCCAGCCUGAUGCAAACCUCAGAGAAAGGAUAGAUGAAGGAAGAGAAGAGGUACUCAUCUACGCCCUCAGUUCUUCAAGGGUUUGAAAAAA
ensembl:lncRNA